CAAUAGCGUAUAUUAAAGUUGUUGCAGUUAAAAAGCUCGUAGUUGGAUUUGUGGUGUGUGCCGAGGCGUCCAAAUUUUUGGUAUUGCCGUGGUCGCGCCAUCCUUGGGUGGAAUCUGUGUGGCAUUAGGUUGUCGUGCAGGGGAUGCCCAUCGUUUACUGUGAAAAAAUUAGAGUGUUCAAAGCAGGCUUAUGCCGUUGAAUAUAUUAGCAUGGAAUAAUAAGAUAGGUCUUUGGUCCUAUUUUGUUGGUUUGCGGACCUAAGAAAUGAUUAACAGGGACAGUUGGGGGUAUUCGUAUUCCAUUGUCAGAGGUGAAAUUCUUGGAUUUCUGGAAGACGAACUACUGCGAAAGCAUUUACCAAGGAUGUUUUCAUUA
rnacentral:rRNA from 1 species